rnacentral:rRNA from 1 species
CGACGAUGAAGCCCAGCUUGCUGGGUGGAUUAGUGGCGAACGGGUGAGUAACACGUGGGUGAUCUGCCCUGCACUCUGGGAUAAGCCUGGGAAACUGGGUCUAAUACCGGAUAUGACCUCGGGAUGCAUGUUCUGGGGUGGAAAGUUUUUCGGUGCAGGAUGAGCCCGCGGCCUAUCAGCUUGUUGGUGGGGUAAUGGCCUACCAAGGCGACGACGGGUAGCCGGCCUGAGAGGGCGACCGGCCACACUGGGACUGAGACACGGCCCAGACUCCUACGGGAGGCAGCAGUGGGGAAUAUUGCACAAUGGGCGCAAGCCUGAUGCAGCGACGCCGCGUGAGGGAUGACGGCCUUCGGGUUGUAAACCUCUUUCACCCAUGACGAAGCGCAAGUGACGGUAGUGGGAGAAGAAGCACCGGCCAACUACGUGCCAGCAGCCGCGGUAAUACGUAGGGUGCGAGCGUUGUCCGGAAUUACUGGGCGUAAAGAGCUCGUAGGCGGUUUGUCGCGUCGUCUGUGAAAUCCCGCAGCUCAACUGCGGGCUUGCAGGCGAUACGGGCAGACUCGAGUACUG